GACGAACGCUGGCGGAGUGCUUAACACAUGCAAGUCGAGCGGAGCCGCGAACGGGUGAGCAACGCGUGAGUAACUGCCCCCCUCUCUGGGAUAACAGUUGGAAACGGCUGCUAAUAACGGAUAGUGGGGGAUGACUCGGGUCCUAUCAGCUUGUUGGUGGGGUAGUGGCCUACCUAGGCGACGCCAGGUAGCCGGCCUGAGAGCGCGACCGGCCACGUUGGGCUGAGAUACGUCCCAAACUCCUACGGGAGGCAGCAGUGGGGAAUAUUGCACAAUGGGGGAAACCCUGAUGCAGCAACGCGCGUGCGGGAUGGCGGCCUUCGGGUUGUAAACCGCUUUCAGCCAUGACGCGGUAGUGGCAGAAGAAGCACCGGCUAACUACGUGCCAGCAGCCGCGGUAAUUC
rnacentral:rRNA from 1 species